rnacentral:rRNA from 1 species
UUCCCUACGGGGCGCAGCAGUGAGGAAUAUUGGUCAAUGGGCGAGAGCCUGAACCAGCCAAGUCGCGUGAAGGAUGACGGCCCUAUGGGUUGUAAACUUCUUUUGUCAGGGAGCAAUUGGGUCCACGUGUGGGCUUAGCGAGAGUACCUGAAGAAAAAGCAUCGGCUAACUCCGUGCCAGCAGCCGCGGUAAUACGGAGGAUGCGAGCGUUAUCCGGAUUUAUUGGGUUUAAAGGGUGCGUAGGCGGACAGUCAAGUCAGCGGUAAAAAUGCGGUGCUCAACGCCGUACAGCCGUUGAAACUGGC